rnacentral:piRNA from 1 species
UGAUAACUCUUGAAGAGGUUU